rnacentral:rRNA from 1 species
AACGAACGCUGGCGGCAGGCCUAACACAUGCAAGUCGAGCGGACCCUUCGGGGUUAGCGGCGGACGGGUGAGUAACGCGUGGGAAUAUGCCCUUCUCUACGGAAUAGUCCUGGGAAACUGGGGGUAAUACCGUAUACGCCCUUUGGGGGAAAGAUUUAUCGGGGAAGGAUUAGCCCGCGUUGGAUUAGGUAGUUGGUGGGGUAAUGGCCUACCAAGCCGACGAUCCAUAGCUGGUUUGAGAGGAUGAUCAGCCACACUGGGACUGAGACACGGCCCAGACUCCUACGGGAAGCAGCAGUGGGGAAUCUUAGACAAUGGGGGCAACCCUGAUCUAGCCAUGCCGCGUGAGUGAUGAAGGCCUUAGGGUUGUAAAGCUCUUUCAGCUGGGAAAAUAAUGACGGUACCAGCAGAAGAAGCCCCGGCUAACUCCGUG